GCAGCUUUAUCUUCUCAAGAACACUGUCGGAUUCAAACUUAUGUCACGAUCACACCAAAGCUUAGAUGCUUUUGAUCUCACUACUAGAAUGAUACUAAGAAGACACUCUUCAAAUAUCAUACAACCUAGAAUUUGAUUUUUAGCUCUAAUAUAUAAAAAAAUCAAAUCCUAGGGCACUCAAGCAAUACUUGCUGAAAAUCUCACCAUCCUUGUAGCAAAUUUUGCCACUUAAAAUUCCUUUUUUUUUUUCAAUUUUUUUUUAGAUUUGUUUUUAUAUUUAUC
rnacentral:lncRNA from 1 species